rnacentral:rRNA from 1 species
UGGGGAAUCUUGGACAAUGGGGGCAACCCUGAUCCAGCCAUGCCGCGUGAGUGAUGAAGGCCUUAGGGUCGUAAAGCUCUUUCGCCUGUGAAGAUAAUGACGGUAGCAGGUAAAGAAACCCCGGCUAACUCCGUGCCAGCAGCCGCGGUAAUACGGAGGGGGUUAGCGUUGUUCGGAAUUACUGGGCGUAAAGCGCACGUAGGCGGACCAGAAAGUUGGGGGUGAAAUCCCGGGGGCUCAACCCCGGAACUGCCUCCAAAACUAUUGGUCUAGAGUUCGAGAGAGGUGAGUGGAAUUCCAAGUGUAGAGGUGAAAUUCGUAGAUAUUUGGAGGAACACCAGUGGCGAAGGCGGCUCACUGGCUCGAUACUGACGCUGAGGUGCGAAAGUGUGGGGAGCAAACAGGAUUAGAUACCCUGGGUAGUCCACACCGUAAAACGAUGAAUGCCAGUCGUCGGGUAGCAUGCUAUUCGGUGACACACCUAACGGAUUAAGCAUUCCGCCUGGGGAGUAC